UACGUAGGGGGCGAGCGUUGCUCCGGAGUUACUGGGCGUAAAGGGCAUGCAGGCGGUCGGACGCGUUUCGGGUGACAGCGGGUGGCUUAACUACCCGAGUGGUCGAAAGACGGUUUGACUUGAGGACGCGAGAGGGACACGGAAUUCCGGGUGGAGUGGUGAAAUGCGUAGAGAUCCGGAGGAACACCGAAGGCGAAGGCAGUGUCCUGGCGCGUAACUGACGCUGAGGUGCGAAAGCCAGGGGAGCGAACGGG
rnacentral:rRNA from 1 species